rnacentral:rRNA from 1 species
UCCCCUAGUAGCGGCGAGCGAAGCGGGAAGAGCUCAAAUUUAUAAUCUGGCACCUUCGGUGUCCGAGUUGUAAUCUCUAGAAAUGUUUUCCGCGUUGGACCGCACACAAGUCUGUUGGAAUACAGCGGCAUAGUGGUGAGACCCCCGUAUAUGGUGCGGACGCCCAGCGCUUUGUGAUACAUUUUCGAAGAGUCGAGUUGUUUGGGAAUGCAGCUCAAAUUGGGUGGUAAAUUCCAUCUAAAGCUAAAUAUUGGCGAGAGACCGAUAGCGAACAAGUACCGUGAGGGAAAGAUGAAAAGCACUUUGGAAAGAGAGUUAACAGUACGUGAAAUUGUUGGAAGGGAAACGCUUGAAGUCAGACUUGCUUGCCGAGCAAUCGGUUUGCAGGCCAGCAUCAGUUUUCCGGGAUGGAUAAUGGUAGAGAGAAGGUAGCAGUUUCGGCUGUGUUAUAGCUCUCUGCUGGAUACAUCUUGGGGGACUGAGGAACGCAGUGUGCCUUUGGCGGGGGUUUCGACCUCUUCACACUUAGGAUGCUGGUGGAAUGGCUUUAAACGACCCGUCUUGAAACACGGACCAAGGAGUCUAACAUGCUUGCGAGUAUUUGGGUGUCAAACCCGGAUGCGUAAUGAAAGUGAAUGGAGGUGGGAACCGCAAGGUGCACCAUCGACCGAUCUGGAUUUUUAAUGAUGGAUUUGAGUAAGAGCACGUAUGUUGGGACCCGAAAGAUGGUGAACUAUGCCUGAAUAGGGCGAAGCCAGAGGAAACUCUGGUGGAGGCUCGUAGCGGUUCUGACGUGCAAAUCGAUCGUCAAAUUUGGGUAUAGGGGCGAAAGACU